rnacentral:lncRNA from 1 species
GACCGGCCGUGCACCCACUGCUGCUGCGGUGCCCAGCCCAGGGUAACCCAGGGGAGCGCAGCAUGGGCUGUGGGAUGACGCACCUCUCCUGCGAUACACGCAGGCGACCGUAUGGGCAGCGCUGAUUCCCUACUGCCUUCUGACACCAGCGCUCUCCUUCCUUUUAGCUACCCGUAGCAUCGUGUCAAGGCCAGGGGGCAGCUGGUGCUGCCCAGACACGAGGCCCUUCUGAGCUCUCACCUGACGCCCAUACGUCCGACAUCCCUCUGCUCCCUCCUUGCCGCAGCCCGCGGGCCUAUCUCACACGGAGCAGUCCAGCUGGUGCUGCCCCAAACCGAAGGAGAUGGCGUCUUCUCCUAGCUUGCUUACACGGAGCCACAGGAGCAGUGCCACGGAACACAACCACAUUACAUCGGGGGAGGCAACCUAAUGGCCAAGUGGGGCUUCAGUCAGGGUGUACACAUUUCACCACGUGCAGACAAACUUGUGUAGUGUAUUAAAGUCUAUGGCCAUUUUAAUCUCUUAUGGGGGGGGGGGGAAGCAAGGUUCAUGUGAAUUCUUUAAUUAGACAUGAAAUUGCCAUGCAAAGACACUAAGGAAGUAUGUGGUUAUGCAACUGGAGCCCUAGAGGAAAAAGUAAACAAUUUUACUGAGAAAAACAGAUUGAAAACAAUGAUGACAUUAAGAGGGAAAUGGCUGGAGGUUUGGGCUCUCUGUUUUUUUCCCCUUCCCUUUUGAAGCCUAAGAACAUCUGCAGGUCAUCUUCAACUUGGUCCCUCUUUGGUGUUGCUCAGUAUAUACUGCUUCAGUACCGUGGUCAUUCUUGACUGGAACUUGGUACACAGCUCUGUACAGGAGCUCCAGCAUUAGGAGCCGUAGCAUCAGCACUUUUCUCGGUCACUAAGGGAAUGCAUCUCAUCUGAGCCAAGCCCUUUUUUAUGCCAAAAUUUUGCAAGUUAUUUAACAUGCCUAGAAGCCCCAAACCCACCAUGGUGUGCUGCUGAAAGGCAGCUGGCAUAACCAAGCGCCUGGCCUUGCACAUACCAUGGCUCUGGGACCACCACCGGGCAGCUUGGUUCCCAGGGCUGCGCUUGGCGUGGGGUGUCCUUUGUGUAGCACCAGGCUCUGGCUUACAGCAUCGUGCCCAGCCCUCCCUGGCAUACCCUGCUAGGUUAAGCAAGGCGACUUGGCUAGUUUGGCAAAGGGAAUAAAGCCCUUAAAAAUGUGAUGUGGUGAGAUAGCAUUAAAAUCCAGGAUGUGUGCCUUCAAGAGUCAAGGACAUAGCUUAAAACAAAACAAAACAAAAUUAAAAAAAAAAAAAAGCGAGAAGAAUAGGAAGAGAAGGCACACCAUGUGAUUGUAAGUUACUGAGAAGGAACUUCACAUGUGAGCUGAGGAAAUGCAGCAUUGUAAACGUGCUAUUUAUAUAGUGCUGAAAGUGUACUUUUACAGGGACAUAAACACUCUUCACUCCAGUGCAUAUAAUCUGCCCUUCUGAAGCAGAUCAAGACAGUGCCCUGUUAGAGCCGAUUCAAUCUAAGGUCAAAAACCAAAUAAAUCUCAACUUUGAGAAACUUCAAACCAAAAUUUGGUCUGGGCCGAAGUCAUUCGACUGGACCAAGCCUUUCCCAUAACAAAAAUGAUCCUCCGAAUACUGAAGCCUGAACUGAAUUUUAAUUGCAAAAGAUCAUGAGAUUUAAAGAACAACAAAUGCAGCCAUUUGUAGAGCAUGCAUGCUGAGGUCCAAGAUCUACUUCUGUUUCUCCCCUUGUCUUCAGCUCUUACAUGACCCAAUCAUGAAGAAAAGAUGUCAAAUGCCACCAGCACCAGCUGGAGAGCAUCUUGGUUGAACCCUGGUCUGAGUUUAUGUGAGAGGUAGCCCCAAGCCAGCCCACCAGCAUGGAAAUAGACCAGCAAGUAAAAUGUUACUGUGAGGAGAGCGAGGACUGCUUCAAAUCAGACAGAGCUUGCCAGAACAUAAUGGUGGCUUGUAACACAGCUAAUCAUGCCGAAUAAAACAGAGCCUUAAAUACAUUCAGGACUAGAUUCUCAAUGGACCCUUCCAUUUAGCAUGUGGCAUCAAUUUUUUUUUUCCCUAACCAACUGUAUUUGGUACCACAAGGGAUGGUUAAUACAAUUUCAAAAAAAAAAAAAAAUUCAAAAAAUAUGAAUAAAUAACCAUAAGUUGUUUACACAAAUAAACAUUCCAGGACGUGGGAUUUUAUUCAGUAAUUGCCAUAUUGGUCAUAAAACAUGCCUGAAAACCCAAAGUACUACUUUAUUGCAUUUAGCAGCAACAAUUAGCCUCUCAAUUUUUCACUGUUUUAACAGACAUGAUGGCUUUCUACUGUGAGAAUAGGCUAAAAAAAUAAGCAACGAACAAACACAACCAAAAAGCAGGCUCUUCUGUACAACCAUACGCUCCAUAGGCUUACACGCAAAAAGCCUGAGCUGUGUUUCAUGAGGCAAAAGAAACAAACGGGCGGCAGACCAUUUUCCUUCCUACAUGAGGCACUAUCUAGAGGAGAGGGAGCAGCGAGGAGUUUUGUUGCAAGGCUCUCUCAGAUGUACCACAGGCAAUUCCUUGCUGCUGAGGACCAGAAUAAGGGCAAAAGUGGAAACAAUAGGAAAAGGUACAGUCCUUAAUGCAUCACUUGCUCUAUUCCAUUGUCCACGAAACAACAGAAGUGAUGGUUGGACGUGAUGACCUUAGAAAUCUUCUCCAACUUUAAUGAUCCUAUGAAUUUUUACACUGAACCAUUUCUGUAAAACAGAGAGCAUAAGUUUUGCAAGAGGGGGGUGUUUGUGAGCUGGAACAUUUUUUCUUUGCAGAAGAUUAAUCAAGAUAAAUAAGUCAUUUGGAAACGCUUGUAGUAGAUAUUCAGGUAGACACCUGAAGCCACCACAAGGCACAAAGUCACAUCAAGAGGACUCACUUUAUGUAGACUCUUGCAGGUUCAAGACAAGAGAAGUACAGCUGUGACAGAAACUGGGGGAUUCCACUCAGGUGAACUGCAGAUGUGAGCAAAGAUACACAUAACUGAUGCAGCACAGUUACCUCGCAAUUUGGAUAAUUAACCCAUGGGUAAUCAAGUAUUGAUGGCAUUGCACUAACUGCAGAAACUAUGUCCUAGAAACAUUACUGGGAAUAUCCAUCCUGUGUUUUCACCUCCUAGAAGUCCGAUUUGGACAGCUGACUGACCUACUUCCAGCAUGUCACUGUUCCCAGCACACCAACCCCUAUCCCUAAACACAUGGUUGCUUCCAGCAAGGGAGAGAAAAGGAGGACUGGGCUACAGAUGUUCCUCGCGCAUACAAUCAACACGGCCCUCCCCCACCAAAGUUUAAUAAGGAUUGUUAGUACAUCAUUGUAGCUGGUAAUUGUGUAGGUACACAUGGUAAUUGCAUGUAUUUGCACUAAUUAUGUAAAUGCACAAUAAUUAAAGCUCCAGGGUUUUCAUGGUAAAUUUUUAAAACACUCAUGGAUUUGUCAUGGCAAAAGUGUCAGUCAUGUAACCUAGUGGGGAAGAAAAGGAGGAGGAGGCUCAGGAGUGCACACUUCUUAAAUAAAAACAGACAUUUUUGCAUGAGUAACUGGAGAGGGGAUACCAUUUUAUCAUCAAACAGAACUGUCAUGCCUGGGUACAACUUCUUUCAGACUCUCUUAUCAGUUAGAAUAAUAAUAAUUAAAAAUUAAAAAAAAAAAUAUUGGUUUUCAUGGUAGGUCAUUGCUAAUGCUCAAAUACUCCCUGCCUUCUAUCCUGGCUUUCCCCACCCACCCUGCACUGCAGGUCUCAGGGCUUCCCUCUGCUCUGUGCUGCAGGGAUGAGCAAGCCUCUGCUUGGCGGGCAUGGAGGGGCCUGGGCAGUUCAGUGCUCCUUAACAACUGCAGCCGCAGAAGGAAAGGGAGCUUUGCAAACACACAGCAUGCAUCUCACUGCGAGGCAUGCAGACAAGCAGCGUAGCUGGUGUUCAGCCUCAUUGGCCACCGUACAGCUCCCUGAGCAGCCCUACUGUGCCAUGCUGGGCUCACAGGUCCUGCUCAGUGGGCAGUAUGACAGAGAGCUGUGACAUGGAGCACCAACUAGAUGUUUCACACUAAAAGCUGGCUGCUCCAAAACACACUGUGUGAGGUUUUAAUCCCUUCAGCCACAUGCUCCUUUUAUGGGUGAUACCUGCACUCAUGACACUUGCAUCCACUGGGAAGGCACCAACCUGACUUGUGCUUAAGCAGAAAUAUUCUUCCCUGUGCCACCUCAUUGCAGGUGUUCUUGUUGGCCCACACAGCACCUCUGCAGGAUUGCUUACUCAUACACAGCUUCCUCAGGACCGUUGCAACCAAGAGCCAGUACAAGAGCUUUAAGCUACCGAGGCCAAAUACCUAAAGACAAGACACAAAGGGGAGCUUCCUUGGGAUUUACAACACAGCUUUAAGAGGAUUUGGGGGACACACAGCCACACAGUUAUUUAUGUAAACCUAAGUCUAUAUACGUGGAUCAAAAAACUCCACAUACAUGGCAACUACUUUCAUUAUGCCCCAGCACAUUCCAUAUCGUUCAGGUGUUGUUUUCUUUUAGUCAUUUCUUUGAAGACACUUUAAAAAAAAUCAAAGCUAAAUUAAAACAAAACAUAAAACUAUAUGAUAAAAACUGAACAAAUCUAGUGAUACAAAAGUUAUGUUAAAAGCAGAUUUUAAUUGCUGGCGUCCAAUUAAACAAGAGAAGCUACCUUGUAUAGUGACUAUUUUCUACUUCAUUUCUAAGAAUGGACAUAUUUUCAGGAUUUUUUUUUUAUUUCCUAUGGUGUUAAGAAUGUCUGUAUCCAUGCCUGAUAGAGAUUAAAGAAAGCAAAGCAUCAUCUUAAACUUUUGGAUUUGCGGAAACAUGUUUGUUAAUGCACUGAGAAUCUUGAAGGAGUACAGGAGGAUUUCACACAACUAACUGUACUCCUUCUGAUAAUAAAUAAAUAAACGUUGCUAAAACAGUGAUCUGUUGAAUUAAUUUCCUUUAGUUUUACAAUAAAUUCAUCUGUUCCUCAGGUAAUGGGUAGAGGGUGUCUAAAAUUCUUUAAAUACAGGGUUUGUGUUCAGGACUGGAAAGCAGCUGAGUUGGGUUAUCUGUCUGUAGGGAAUUGUCCAUCUGUCUGUAGGGAAUUUAUUUUGGCUUGUUUUUGUUGUACAGCAGCAUUGUGAGGCUAAGUUAGUGCUUUAAUUUUUGUUAAUGCAGGACCAAAGGUCUUUCAGAUGUUUAUGUCUAGUGGCAGCUCGUAUCAUAAAUACUUGCUUCCAGCAUCAUGACUACACAGACUGAGUAAGCCUUCAAUCCAGCAAGGUCCCUCAGACUUGGUGCUUCUUCACAUGCCACACAAAUAUGCUUACUCAGGCAGGAAAAAAAUGCCUAAUUUAUGAGAAGUGUUUUGGUUCAUCAGAUUUGCAAAAGCAGUUUGGUGGUACAGCUGACAUUCAGAUUCCUUCGCAAGAAGAGUUGGAAGGUUGUCCUUUCUGAAAGUCAUGUCCAUGGUGUCUCAAGUUGAUAGCAUGAGCAUGAAAACACCUGCAGUUAGCAGUGGGCCUAUUUCCUACUUCUGUGUGAUUCUUUUGGUCUGCAUGAACAAUAUGAAAAAAUAUUGUUAAAUAUAAGUUGAUCUAAAUAAAUACAAAUAUAUGCUUAUUGAUAUGUAUCACAAGAGGUGUUUGUGUAAUGAACUGAUUGGUCUGAGAUCCUAGCAUGAGCAAUUCUGACACAAAUGGCAACUUGGUGCUGACUGUUGGGACACACGAAGGUGUCCUUUGCUGAAUAUUUGCUACCAGAACAUCUAGGAAUGGAAGAUAUUCUUGGAAAUCUAGGCAAUGGGAUUUGCUCAAAAAUCCAUGGCAAAUACAUGACCAGAACCUGUACCUGAACCUGUUCCUGACUCGUGAGCUGAACUGGCAGGUGCCCUGUUCCAACAAGCCAGCCACAGUACAGGUGUAUUUUAAAUCACUGUGCUGAGUCAUUCUCAUUUAAAUGUAGGCUAAACCACCUGAGUGUACUGUCCUUGCUAACCUCCACAAACUCACUGUAAAGUUUUCCCUCUACAGAGCAGACAAAGCCCAUUGGCUUCAUCCCUCAUGUGAGCCACAGCCAGGCAGCUAUUGCCUAUUUGCUGCAUCAUGAUAUAUGAUUACAGACAGUUGUGAGUGUUUGUUUGCUUGCUAGGCUUGUUCCUUUAAAGAGGAAGAAUUAUCCUAUUAUCUCAAGCAGAAUCACACUUGUUCCACUCUAUCUUGCCUUCUAAACUUUAAAAGCUGAAAAGUCAUCUUUUAAGUGUCUUUUUUUAGCUGAAGGAUUUUCUUUUAUUUAAUUUCUAUACAUACGCAUUUUCCACUACACAUGCUGGAAUAGUAUCUGUUUGAUUUCCUGUUAUUGUACGUAAGUCUACAUUUUUUGUCAGUGCUUUGUUUUAAACAAAGCAGAGGAACAUAUAGCAAGUUUGUCCUGAAUUAAUGGCUUCCUGACAUUUGAUGAAAUUCUUUAUACCAACCCCACUUUUCCAUAUUCCCUUUCUGGAUUUCUUUUCGUUUGGCAGCUGGCAUGUAGCAGUUAGAUCCUAUCUGGUAGCUAGAGCAAAAAGAGUCCCAAAAUGUAGAAUUACUUUUAAGAGCUCUAAAUACUACCUAGACUUCAACUUUAAAAACCUGGAAGAAUCCCAAACCCAGGAGAAAGGAUGUAUGAUGUACAUUAUCGGGCUACUGUUACGGGGAAUAGUUUAAAUACUGAAUAAAACUCAAUGAAGACUUUCAGAAUUAUUUUUGUUCAGACUUUACAGUCUUGUGGGGAAUGCAGAGGUUAGCAAUGACACCUCAAACACUAUACUGUCUUGAUAGGACUUGAAGGUUAGAUCAGGGAAGUACUGGGUAACCUAUCAAAGUCCUGAAAUCAAAAGGCAUCUUUUCUAAAAUAAAUCUCGGUGGGGAGAAUGUACACAUUCUCAUGCUGCUGUUUGUUUUGUCAUAUUCACAGGUAAAAGAAAACUAUGGGCAAUGUCUGAUAAUGCGCCUGUCCUCUACUCAGACUUGCCCCCUUCAAUGACUAGAGUCACUUCUCAAUGACUGGAGGCUCUGCAGAGUGGGGAAGUGAAAACCAGAACCCGCCUCUCCGAAGAUAAAGUUGAAAAAAAGCAAAUGAGCAAAAACAAACAAACAAACAAAAAAUACUCCCUUAACCUGGUAUCAAACAUCCAUCCUAUCUUGUUUUGAAUUGAUCUGGAGAAAAUGGUAGUUGGCAAUGACUCUUAAAUGUAUGACCAAUCAUUUUGCUUUUUUAUAGGUACGUGAAAGACACAGCUUGCCAGAGUGGAAUUCAUGUACCUCCUGAAAUAUUUAAGACACCUGCAGUGAGAUUAUUUUUCCUCUUUUAAUUUGAAGAACCUGCAUUUCUCAGUUCUGAGGCAUUUCUCUGGCGGUAAUGUGUGCCAAAUAACUGGCAGUCUGGCACAACAGCACUUAUAUUCCAAGUAUUAUAAAAGAUAGAUAACAAGAAACCUGUUGCUUUUCUUUUCAGGGGAACUGAACCAUGAAUCUUAUAUGGCAUCAGUAGGUACAGAUAUAAACCCCUCUCCACUGUUUUUCUCUGCUUCUGUGACAUAAAAUUAAGGCCCAAAUUCUACAAAAUAUUUAACAGGAAAAAUCUCACAGCCCAAAAGCUCUCCUGAGGCAGUAUUUGCAUACAAUUUGUUGCAAGAUUAGGAUCAGAGGUUUUUUUCUCCCUAUUUUUCUACCUCAUUGGGUGUUAUUCUGGCAUUGCUAUGUUUUUCCAUUUACAUUGUUUUGACUAGAGUCAAAAUUGUUGUUACAUUUUAAGUCAGUGUCUGCUCUACUAAUUGAUGGGCUGCUAAAGAUCAGCCACGGAGAGUUAGAUUUCAGAGCAAGAAUCUGGCUCACAGAAGAAGUGAUUACAUGAGAUAUGUAAGGACCAAAGCCUGUAAGACCGAUUCAAACCCUAAAUGAUUUGACCAAGAGUACAAGGCUGUGAUACAUUCACAGUGAAAAUAUGGCACCUGGUCACAGUGUCUGGCUUCCACUUCUUCCAUCCAACUUUAGCUGUCCUCCUUUUGCAGAGGUCAAAGCAUUGUAUAAAUAUCAGUUAAGCAGAGUAAAAUCAGCUCCUUUAAAAUAUUUAGCUACCAUCUACCAGUGCUUUAUAAUAUGAAGAACAUACCUCUGCUCUCCUGGAACAUGGCAGGAAGCAGAAGUUUCUCUUUUGAAGGCAAUGAAGUUCCUCUGCAUCUGACUUCCAAGCAGUGUCUAACCUUGCUAUAUAUUUUAAUCUAACAGUAAGAUUUUUACUUCAGAACUUGUUUUCAUUCUGAAUCUGAGAGAGAAAGUGGGCACACUGUAGAUUUCUUGUAAAAAAUUUGUAUAACCAUGCUUAUCAAAUUUUAAACAGUAGCACCAGUAUUGCAAUACUUACUUUACCAUUAUAUUAAAAACAAAAGCAACUGAAAGGAAAGUCAGCACGAAAAGUUUUCCUCUUAUCAGAGUAAAUGAGAAUAUUGAUAUAAUGCAUUUCUGCUCUCUGCCUUUUAAAAUGGCAUUGAAAGCAACACAUUCUUACAAUAAAGUUUGCAUUUCACUCAAAGUGCAUUUUCCAACUGGAAAGUGUAAAGGCGAAUAUUUCAGGAUUGGUCCUACUUGAUGGUGCUUUGCAAAUACUCUCUAUUAACCUGAAUGACUGCGUAAGGUAGAGGAAAUCGGUAAACCUGGCCCUCUGAGAGCAGAGGAGCAAGUUGUUAAUGUUAAUGGGUAUCAAUUCACAUAUAUUUGCUUACAGAGAUCUGUGGCAGCUCUGAGUGUUUCACUGUGUCCAAUUUCUUCUUGCAUAAAUAAAGAAGAGCAUGAAUACUUGAAAAGAUGAAGGCUUCUCUGGAGCAGAAGAGCCAGAACUACUACAAGGAAAUUCUUGUGCUUCUUUAAUUACCCUCCUUUGCCCAUAGGUGGAAUUUCCACUCGGACAGCCCCAGCAAGCAGACUGCUAGCCUGGGAAGAGAUGUCUGUUUGUCUUUGUACAGCAAACACUGGCUGUGUUGUGCAGCUCAAGCUUCUGAUUCAAAUGAUUUCCUGAAUUCAUUCUGCUUCAUACCUCAGGGAAGGAAGAGGUGAUCCUCUUGAAAAUUCAUAUAAUUGCUUUUAUUUGAUUUUUAUUAAACCUCAUUCAAGAAUAAUGUGAUGGCUUUCUUUAUUACAUUGUUCAUCACUGCGGCAUUUUUUGAAUUUACUUUGCUAAAAGAAGCAGUUUACUAAGCCAAAGAUUGAAUUCAAGGAUUUUUGCAGAGAGAAAGCUGAGAGCUUUUUUCAAGUUCCUUUGAUUUCAAAGACUUUUGUAACAUUGAUACCCAUCUAAGAUUAUCUCUGCUUUUAUUCUCUAGUAGCUUGAACAUCUCUCCAGGCCUGAGCAGUCAGGCCAUUCUGCAGUGUGCCAUGUGUGUGUGCUGGGAUUCAGCAGGGCCAGCUGUGCCGCAGCUUCAACCCAGCUCGGCCUGAGUGCCAGGGAGCUGCCAGAGUGCCCAACCCACUCCCCUCCCCAUACCAGCCGUCCCACCACCUGCUUAGGCUGCCUCUUGCUGCCAUGCUGAUGGCAGUGGACAAAGGGAAAGGCUGCAGCUGUAGUGUGGAAAGCUACAGCAAGGAGUGGGUUCAUUGACCCCCCUCUAAAUUCUUUGUAGCUGCCACAGAGAUUGCUCCCAUUUUAAAAUUGGGAUGACUGAUGCAGAGAAGCAAAGUAAAUAAUCUGCACUUAGCAUGAAUAAAAGUAGCCGAGCAAUUAAAAUUCAGAACUGGCAACUUCAUGUCACUAGCAUCAAGCUAUACAGAUUUGGAAAAUUUGAUCUAUUUACCUCUUUGCCACUGGUGUGACAUCAUCUACUGUCCAUCAGUAACUCACACACAGAGCUACCUGAAGUGCAAUUUUAUGAGACUUUUUAAAGAGAAUUAUUUUUGGUCAUUUAAAGAUAGGUGUUUAGGAACAUGAGAAUGUUCAUAUAUUAUUAUAGCAAUUUUCCCCUCUUUUCCAUUUUAUCACAGGAAAUAACAUCUCAAAACACUAUGAGUACUUUGUAGAAGGUUCUUUUUUAUCUUAAAAAGUUUUUAACAAGAGUCCAGUCAUCUUAGUUAAUCCCUUUAAGCCAUGUCAAUAUUUAUUCUUAAGUAGAGUUUCAAAUAUUAGAGCAGCUGCACUCAGCUUAAUAGGGACAAUUCCCAUUGACUGGGAAUUAUGGCCAAGUACUGCAGGGGCUGACCUUGAGUCCUCAGGCCUACAGUUUAAAUGGCAAUAAGGGUGGCGGUGUGUCUGUUGGUUUAUGCCUCUGUCCGUAGGUAAGCACAAACCCCAGGGCUGCUUAAGGACCCUUAAUAAGCACUGCAGCUACUUCCCAGGGCUCUGGAAACCCUGUGUGAGGUGAGGCAUGUAUUUUUUAUGCUACUGGCAUCUAGACUUCUGUUUUCUAACAGUGACAGAAUAAUGGCAAUGGAUUUGGGAUAAAAGACAGGCAGAUGUACCACCAUUUCAUCAUAUAGUUACUCCUCAUCCCUCUUUCCUAAGGCAAGAAACAGGUUACUUCAUAUCACAUGGAGUACCUUGCCUUUGCCCCUCUCUCAGGGCAGGUGUGUUUGAGUCAGAGAACUUCGCUGUUCCAAGAGUCAGCUGGCAUUACGCUCUCUAAGACCCUCCAAAAGAGUGCUCUGCUCACAACCUCUAAAUUAAACUGAUCACCAGUUUUCUGGGCAGGAUUUUUUCUUCCAUUUAAAAGUUCUCUUUUUCUUUGCUUUAUUUCCGACAACACAAAACACAGUUGCUGUCUAUAGCCAUAGGGAAGUUUUAUUCAGUAAGUCCUCUGCUACCGUGGUGACACAGGAUUUUCAUGGUAGUACUGAUUCCUUUGUUGUCUUUCUGUGGUACUACAUUACAGCUAUGGCUUUUUUUUCUUUCCUUUUCCUUUUCCUUUUCCUUUUCCUUUUCCUUUUCCUUUUCCUUUUCCUUUUCCUUUUCCUUUUCCUUUUCCUUUUCCUUUUCCUUUUCCUUUUCCUUUUCCUUUUCCUUUUCCUUUUCCUUUUCCUUUUCCUUUUUUUCCAAGCAGAGGUUUUAUUUCUCCUGAGGAACAUUAAGAAGUAUUUCCCUCCCUGGGGAUGUGGAUUCUCCAUUCUGAAGAAGCCUGGGUCAUUGGAUGUCUCUUGCACAGAGAACACUUCGGAUGUCUCCGCCAGUGUUCCCAGAAAAGGGAGAUGUUUCCUGUCUGGUAGUACAGAGCAGCUGAUCAUUUCCAUGUUAUGCUGAACACAAAAACUGGACCCACUCUCAUAGUCCUCAGUGUGGGGCACCAUGUGAAUACAAAGAAGACAAUGACUGAAGGAGUUUUAAUCUUCCCUGGCCUCUCAGAUACCUUGGGGGACUCCUGGCCUUGGACCCCCUGCUCCCUGUCAUUUUUCUGACCACUUCUGGUGGGAUCCUGUGCUGUUUGCACUUAAAGUUACUGAAGUGAACCGAAAAUUGUAAGUCUCCAGCAAAGAUUAAAUGGCACAAAAAGGUGAGUAAAUAUAAACAGUGAAGUGAAAGAAGGUGGCUAGGCUUGAGAGCAGCAAGUACUAAAUGAUGUAUUUCAUAAGACCUUGAGCCUGCACUUUCCUAACAUGUUUUUAUAACAUGAUUCUAAAGGCUCCAUCUGCUUAACUUUUUCCUUCCAGAUUAAUGAUUGUUUUAGGACAACUCAGAUUUGGUUACUGUUAGCUCUAACAUUUUCAGAGAGGCUGACUUCCCCAUCAUGCAAUAAAUUGCUAGGAUAUAUGGUGCAUGCAGAGAACUUUCUGGUCCAAACUGGAACAAUCUCUCUGCAUAGACACAUUUACUUUUCAUUAAAAACAAAACAAAACAAAAACCUGUAGAUAAUUCCAUGCUUUUCACAGUAUUAACUUCACAGACAAAAACAAAAAAUCGAAGUGUUAACCCUGUCUCUUUUAUGUCUUCCAGUGUUCAAUUCCAUUCUGGUAAAGGUUUGCUACAAUUAAUCAUUUUUACAACUAUUUUAGGCUUAAAUCCCUUAAAAAACGUUCUGGAUCUGGAAUCUGACUAAAUCAGAAAUGAAAUAAAAUAUUUCCCAUUGCUUCCUGCUGAUGCUGAAGAUUUUGCAUAUUAGUCUAAUGUAACCUUGUAGUGUUGAGGUGUCCUCCAGGCUGGCUCUGGAGACCCCGCCGGCUGCUGCAGCUGCUGUGACUCCUGCUGCACUAAGAGCUUUUACAUCUGAGUGCUCUGCAGUAUAAAUGGGCAGCAACACUGCUUCUUUGCUUGGUCUCCCUGGAACAACUCUAAAAUAAAC